CAACUAAAAUUCACUUUAUUGGUGAUUUACUAUUCCGAAAUAUAUGUUUGGAAAUUUCUUUUGAAACUCAUCAACUGUAAUUGAAAUCCUGGUCGUGCCGCUGAUUCGCAGGCGGAACCGAGUAAAAGCGUUCGGUAUUUUUUUAUUACGUUACAGAGCCGUAUUUAUUCGUCUUCCGUUAAUCAGUACAACUUUUCAAUAUUAUACCGUCGAGAAUUUUUAUCGUUUUUAUGCCGUUUUUUAAAUCGCCAAGAAGGUGUCGAUGCGUAGAGGUAUCGAAAUAUCCGAUCGCUAUAAUAGCUAAAGUUUUUAUUCGAUUUGCGAGGUUUCCACUAAUACAACACCUAUAACAUAAUGUGUAUAAUAUAAAAAGCAGUCUCGAAAAAGACGGACUUGUAAAACCGGACCAUUUGCUCCCCUCGCUCUGCAGAAUUUGUAAACGUCACCGAAACGAUACCGGAAAAAUCAUUCUAACGGUCCCCUACGACG